GUUGUAUGGUUAAGUGACUAAGCGUACACGGUGGAUGCCUUGGCAGUCAGAGGCGAUGAAAGACGUAGUAACUUGCGAUAAGCCCAGAUUAGGUAGUAACAACCAUUUGAGUCUGGGAUUUCUGAAUGGGGAAACCCACGUGCAUAAGCACGUAUCCUUACCUGAAUACAUAGGGUAAGGAGGCGAACCGGGGGAACUGAAACAUCUAAGUACCCCGAGGAAAAGAAAUCAACCGAGAUUCCGAAAGUAGCGGCGAGCGAAAUUGGACUAGCCCUUAAGCUUUACACGCGUUAGACGAACGGUCUGGAAAGUCCGGCGAUACAGGGUGAUAGCCCGUAGUUGACGACGUGUGUUCAGUGAAAUCGAGUAGGGCGGGACACGUGAUAUCCUGUCUGAAUAUGGGGGGACCAUCCUCCAAGGCUAAAUACUACUGACUGACCGAUAGUGAACCAGUACCGUGAGGGAAAGGCGAAAAGAACCCCUGUGAGGGGAGUGAAAUAGAACCUGAAACCGUGUACGUACAAGCAGUAGGAGCAGGCUUUGUCCUGUGACUGCGUACCUUUUGUAUAAUGGGUCAGCGACUUAUAUUCAGUGGCAAGGUUAACCAUCUAGGGGAGCCGUAGGGAAACCGAGUCUUAACUGGGCGUUCAGUCUCUGGAUAUAGACCCGAAACCAGGUGAUCUAGCCAUGGGCAGGUUGAAGGUUGAGUAACAUCAACUGGAGGACCGAACCGACUAAUGUUGAAAAAUUAGCGGAUGACUUGUGGCUAGGGGUGAAAGGCCAAUCAAACCUGGAGAUAGCUGGUUCUCCCCGAAAGCUAUUUAGGUAGCGCCUCGGACGAAUACUACUGGGGGUAGAGCACUGUUAAGGCUAGGGGGUCAUCCCGACUUACCAACCCUUUGCAAACUCCGAAUACCAGUAAGUACUAUCCGGGAGACACACGGCGGGUGCUAACGUCCGUCGUGGAGAGGGAAACAACCCAGACCGCCAGCUAAGGUCCCAAAUUACUACUAAGUGGGAAACGAUGUGGGAAGGCUCAGACAGCCAGGAUGUUGGCUUAGAAGCAGCCAUCAUUUAAAGAAAGCGUAAUAGCUCACUGGUCGAGUCGGCCUGCGCGGAAGAUGUAACGGGGCUAAGUAGUAAACCGAAGCUGCGGCAAUAUACUUUUGUAUAUUGGGUAGGGGAGCGUUCUGUAAGCGGUUGAAGGUGUGUGGUAACGCAUGCUGGACGUAUCAGAAGUGCGAAUGCUGACAUGAGUAACGAUAAAGGGGGUGAAAAACCUCCUCGCCGGAAGACCAAGGGUUCCUGUCCAACGUUAAUCGGGGCAGGGUAAGUCGACCCCUAAGGCGAGGCCGAAAGGCGUAGUCGAUGGGAAACGGGUUAAUAUUCCCGUACUUCUUACAAUUGCGAUGGGGGGACGGAGAAGGCUAGGUGGGCCUGGCGACGGUUGUCCAGGUUCAAGUGCGUAGGCUUAAGAGUUAGGUAAAUCCGGCUCUUUUUAAGGCUGAGACACGACGUCGAGCACCUACGGGUGUGAAGUCAUUGAUGCCAUGCUUCCAGGAAAAGCCUCUAAGCUUCAGAUUGUAAGGAAUCGUACCCCAAACCGACACAGGUGGUCGGGUAGAGAAUACCAAGGCGCUUGAGAGAACUCGGGUGAAGGAACUAGGCAAAAUGGUACCGUAACUUCGGGAGAAGGUACGCUCUUGAUGGUGAAGUCCCUCGCGGAUGGAGCUGACGAGAGUCGCAGAUACCAGGUGGCUGCAACUGUUUAUUAAAAACACAGCACUGUGCAAAAUCGUAAGAUGACGUAUACGGUGUGACGCCUGCCCGGUGCCGGAAGGUUAAUUGAUGGGGUUAGACUUCGGUCGAAGCUCUUGAUCGAAGCCCCGGUAAACGGCGGCCGUAACUAUAACGGUCCUAAGGUAGCGAAAUUCCUUGUCGGGUAAGUUCCGACCUGCACGAAUGGCGUAAUGAUGGCCACGCUGUCUCCACCCGAGACUCAGUGAAAUUGAAAUCGCUGUGAAGAUGCAGUGUACCCGCGGCUAGACGGAAAGACCCCGUGAACCUUUACUACAGCUUGGCACUGAACAUUGACCCUACAUGUGUAGGAUAGGUGGGAGGCUUUGAAGCACGUACGCCAGUAUGUGUGGAGCCGUCCUUGAAAUACCACCCUUGUAGUGUUGAUGUUCUAACGUCGACCCCUUAUCGGGGUUGCGGACAGUGCCUGGUGGGUAGUUUGACUGGGGCGGUCUCCUCCCAAAGAGUAACGGAGGAGCACGAAGGUGGGCUAAUCACGGUUGGACAUCGUGAGGUUAGUGCAAUGGCAUAAGCCCGCUUGACUGCGAGAAUGACAAUUCGAGCAGGUGCGAAAGCAGGUCAUAGUGAUCCGGUGGUUCUGAAUGGAAGGGCCAUCGCUCAACGGAUAAAAGGUACUCCGGGGAUAACAGGCUGAUACCGCCCAAGAGUUCAUAUCGACGGCGGUGUUUGGCACCUCGAUGUCGGCUCAUCACAUCCUGGGGCUGAAGUCGGUCCCAAGGGUAUGGCUGUUCGCCAUUUAAAGUGGUACGCGAGCUGGGUUUAGAACGUCGUGAGACAGUUCGGUCCCUAUCUGCCGUGGGCGUUGGAAGAUUGAAGGGGGCUGCUCCUAGUACGAGAGGACCGGAGUGGACGAACCUCUGGUGUUCGGGUUGUGUCGCCAGACGCAUUGCCCGGUAGCUAAGUUCGGAAUCGAUAACCGCUGAAAGCAUCUAAGCGGGAAGCGAGCCCUGAGAUGAGUCUUCCCUGAUACUUUAAGUAUCCUAAAGGGUUGUCGGAGACUACGACGUUGAUAGGUCAGGUGUGUAAGUGCUGUGAGGCAUUGAGCUAACUGAUACUAAUUGCCCGUGAGGCUUAACCAUACAACACCCAAGGGGUUU
rnacentral:rRNA from 1 species